UUCUGUAAGCCUGUGAAGGUGAGUUGAGAAGCUUGCUGGAGGUAUCAGAAGUGCGAAUGCUGACAUGAGUAACGACAAUGGGUGUGAAAAACAUCCACGCCGAAAGACCAAGGGUUCCUGCGCAACGUUAAUCGACGCAGGGUUAGUCGGUUCCUAAGGCGAGGCUGAAAAGCGUAGUCGAUGGGAAACAGGUUAAUAUUCCUGUACUUCUGGUUACUGCGAUGGAGGGACGGAGAAGGCUAGGCCAGCUUGGCGUUGGUUGUCCAAGUUUAAGGUGGUAGGCUGAAAUCUUAGGUAAAUCCGGGGUUUCAAGGCCGAGAGCUGAUGACGAGUCGUCUUUUAGAUGACGAAGUGGUUGAUGCCAUGCUUCCAAGAAAAGCUUCUAAGCUUCAGGUAACCAGGAACCGUACCCCAAACCGACACAGGUGGUCGGGUAGAGAAUACCAAGGCGCUUGAGAGAACUCGGGUGAAGGAACUAGGCAAAAUGGCACCGUAACUUCGGGAGAAGGUGCGCCGGCUAGGGUGAAGGAUUUACUCCGUAAGCUCUGGCUGGUCGAAGAUACCAGGCCGCUGCGACUGUUUAUUAAAAACACAGCACUCUGCAAACACGAAAGUGGACGUAUAGGGUGUGACGCCUGCCCGGUGCCGGAAGGUUAAUUGAUGGGGUUAGCGCAAGCGAAGCUCUUGAUCGAAGCCCCGGUAAACGGCGGCCGUAACUAUAACGGUCCUAAGGUAGCGAAAUUCCUUGUCGGGUAAGUUCCGACCUGCACGAAUGGCGUAACGAUGGCGGCGCUGUCUCCACCCGAGACUCAGUGAAAUUGAAAUCGCUGUGAAGAUGCAGUGUAUCCGCGGCUAGACGGAAAGACCCCGUGAACCUUUACUGUAGCUUUGCACUGGACUUUGAGCCUGCUUGUGUAGGAUAGGUGGGAGGCUUUGAAGCGUGGACGCCAGUUCGCGUGGAGCCAUCCUUGAAAUACCACCCUGGCAUGCUUGAGGUUCUAACUCUGGUCCGUAAUCCGGAUCGAGGACAGUGUAUGGUGGGCAGUUUGACUGGGGCGGUCUCCUCCUAAAGAGUAACGGAGGAGUACGAAGGUGCGCUCAGACCGGUCGGAAAUCGGUCGCAGAGUAUAAAGGCAAAAGCGCGCUUGACUGCGAGACAGACACGUCGAGCAGGUACGAAAGUAGGUCUUAGUGAUCCGGUGGUUCUGUAUGGAAGGGCCAUCGCUCAACGGAUAAAAGGUACUCCGGGGAUAACAGGCUGAUACCGCCCAAGAGUUCAUAUCGACGGCGGUGUUUGGCACCUCGAUGUCGGCUCAUCACAUCCUGGGGCUGAAGCCGGUCCCAAGGGUAUGGCUGUUCGCCAUUUAAAGUGGUACGCGAGCUGGGUUUAGAACGUCGUGAGACAGUUCGGUCCCUAUCUGCCGUGGACGUUUGAGAUUUGAGAGGGGCUGCUCCUAGUACGAGAGGACCGGAGUGGACGAACCUCUGGUGUUCCGGUUGUCACGCCAGUGGCAUUGCCGGGUAGCUAUGUUCGGAAAAGAUAACCGCUGAAAGCAUCUAAGCGGGAAACUUGCCUCAAGAUGAGAUCUCACUGGGAACUUGAUUCCCCUGAAGGGCCGUCGAAGACUACGACGUUGAUAGGCUGGGUGUGUAAGCGUUGUGAGGCGUUGAGCUAACCAGUACUAAUUGCCCGUGAGGCUUGACCAU
rnacentral:rRNA from 1 species